rnacentral:rRNA from 1 species
CGGUAAGGUGAUAUGAACCGUUAUAACCGGCGAUUUCCGAAUGGGGAAACCCAGUGUGUUUCGACACACUAUCAUUAACUGAAUCCAUAGGUUAAUGAGGCGAACCGGGGGAACUGAAACAUCUAAGUACCCCGAGGAAAAGAAAUCAACCGAGAUUCCCCCAGUAGCGGCGAGCGAACGGGGAGGAGCCCAGAGCCUGAAUCAGUGUGUGUGUUAGUGGAAGCGUCUGGAAAGGCGCGCGAUACAGGGUGACAGCCCCGUACACAAAAAUGCACAUGCUGUGAGCUCGAUGAGUAGGGCGGGACACGUGGUAUCCUGUCUGAAUAUGGGGGGACCAUCCUCCAAGGCUAAAUACUCCUGACUGACCGAUAGUGAACCAGUACCGUGAGGGAAAGGCGAAAAGAACCCCGGCGAGGGGAGUGAAAAAGAACCUGAAACCGUGUACGUACAAGCAGUGGGAGCAUGCUUAGGCGUGUGACUGCGUACCUUUUGUAUAAUGGGUCAGCGACUUAUAUUCUGUAGCAAGGUUAACCGAAUAGGGGAGCCGAAGGGAAACCGAGUCUUAACUGGGCGUUAAGUUGCAGGGUAUAGACCCGAAACCCGGUGAUCUAGCCAUGGGCAGGUUGAAGGUUGGGUAACACUAACUGGAGGACCGAACCGACUAAUGUUGAAAAAUUAGCGGAUGACUUGUGGCUGGGGGUGAAAGGCCAAUCAAACCGGGAGAUAGCUGGUUCUCCCCGAAAGCUAUUUAGGUAGCGCCUCGUGAACUCAUCUCCGGGGGUAGAGCACUGUUUCGGCAAGGGGGUCAUCCCGACUUACCAACCCGAUGCAAACUGCGAAUACCGGAGAAUGUUAUCACGGGAGACACACGGCGGGUGCUAACGUCCGUCGUGAAGAGGGAAACAACCCAGACCGCCAGCUAAGGUCCCAAAGUCAUGGUUAAGUGGGAA